AUGGGGUCCCCCAUCUUCUUCGGCCUCAGAGAGGAGCUAGAAGGAGACUCACCCACUCUCUUUCACGCCGGCCACCGCGCACCGUCGCAUCACCAGUUGCGAAAAACGGUGACCGGCUCUCACCCUCGCAGACGUUACACUCUCACUCUCACUCUCACUCUCAGGCUUUCAAUUUCAGUGUGUUACCACUUACCAGUAUCCUCUAGUAAAGGAAUACCCCACAAACAACAAAAAGAUAGGUUAUUUUGGUGGGUGGGGAAAGAACAUAAGUUCUUCAAAAGGAACAAGAGAGAAGUUGCUAUUUCAAAACAAGUUGGUAGUAAGAAAUGUUGA